UACGAAGGGGGCUAGCGUUGCUCGGAAUCACUGGGCGUAAAGCGCACGUAGGCGGAUUUUUAAGUCAGGGGUGAAAUCCUGGAGCUCGACUCCAGAACUGCCUUUGAUACUGGGAAUCUCGAGUCCGGGAGAGGUGAGUGGAACUGCGAGUGUAGAGGUGAAAUUCGUAGAUAUUCGCAAGAACACCAGUGGCGAAGGCGGCUCACUGGCCCGGUACUGACGCUGAGGUGCGAAAGCGUGGGGAGCAAACAGG
rnacentral:rRNA from 1 species